AUUGAACGCUGGCGGCAGGCCUAACACAUGCAAGUCGAACGAGUGGCGGACGGGUGAGUCAUGUCUGGGAAACUGCCAGAUGGAGGGGGAUAACUACUUGAAACGGUAGCUAAUACCGCAUACCAUCGAAUGUGCCCAGAUGGGAUUAGCUAGGAGGUGGGGUACAGGCUCACUUAGGCGACGAUCCCUAGCUGGUCUGAGAGGAUGCCCAGCCACACUGGAAAUGAGACACGGUCCAGACUCCUACGAGAGGCAGCAUUGGGGAAUAUUGCACAAUUGGCGCAAGCCUGAUGCAGCCAUGCCGCGUGUAUGAAGAAGGCCUUCGGGUUGUAAAGUACUUUCAGCGGGGAGGCGUUAAACGCAGAAGAAGAACCGGCUAACUCCGUGCCAGCAGCGGCGGUAAUUC
rnacentral:rRNA from 1 species